rnacentral:rRNA from 1 species
CCUACGGGUGUCUGCAGUGAGGAAUAUUGGUCAAUGGACGGAAGUCUGAACCAGCCAUGCCGCGUGCAGGAAGAUGGCUCUAUGAGGUGAAAACUGCUUUUGUACAAGGGUAAACCUGAAUACGUGUAUUCAGCUGAAAGUACUGUACGAAUAAGGACCGGCUAACUCCGUGCAAGCAGCCGCGGUAAUACGGAGGAUCCAAGCGUUAUCCGGAUUUAUUGGGUUUAAAGGGUGCGUAGGCGGAGUGAUAAGUUAGAGGUGAAAUGUCCGGGCUUAACUCGGGAACUGCCUCUAAUACUGUUGAGCUAGAGAGUAGAUGCGGUAGGCGGAAUGUAUGGUGUAGCGGUGAAAUGCUUAGAGAUCAUACAGAACACCGAUUGCGAAGGCAGCUUACCAAGCUAUAUCUGACGUUGAGGCACGAAAGCGUGGGGAGCAAACAGGAUUAGAUACCCUUGUAGUC